ACCAGUUGAUCCUGCUGGAGGACACUGCUAUCGGAUUACUACUAAGCCAUGCAAGUCCAAGGACCCCGCUUGGGAGUCCUAGCAAACGGCUGAGUAACACGUAGUCAACGCACCCAAAGGACGGGGAUAACCACGGGAAACUGUGGACAACACCCGAUAAGCCAAGAAGUUUGGAACAACUCUUGACUCAAACAACGCGCCAAAUUGUAGGCGUGCAUUGCCUUUGGACCGGACUGCGGCUGAUUAGCUAGUUGGCGAGGUAACGGCUCACCAAGGCGAUAAUCAGUAGGGGCUAUGAGAGUAGGAGCCCCCAGACGGGCACUGAGACAAGGGCCCGAGCCCUACGGGGUGCAGCAGGCGAGAAACUUACACAAUGCGCGAAAGCGUGAUGGAGGUAAUCCGAGUGCUAGUCUAACGACUAGCUUUUAUCGAGUCCGAAUCACUCGGCGAAUAAGGGUCUGGGCAAAUCCUGUGCCAGCCGCCGCGGUAAUACAGGUGGCACGAGUGGUGUCCGCGAAUACUGAGCUUAAAGCGCCCGUAGCCGGCUCGGCAAGUUUCCUGUAAAAUCUCUCCGCUCAACGGAGAGGCGAGCAGGAAAAACUACUGGGCUUGAGAGUGGGGGAAGCCAAGAGUACGACAGGGGGAGCGGUAAAAUGCUGUAAUCCUUGUCGGACUACCAGUGGCGAAAGCGCUUGGCUAAAACACGUCUGACGGUGAGGGGCGAAGGCUAGGGUAGCAAACGGGAUUAGAUACCCCGGUAGUCCUAGCAGUAAAUGAUGCAGACUUGGCGUUGCAACUACCUAGAGUGGUUGCAGUGCCGAAGGGAAACCGUUAAGCCUGCCGCUUGGGGAGUACGAUCGCAAGAUUGAAACUUAAAGGAAUUGGCGGGGGAGCACCACCAGGGGUGGAUGCUGCGGUUCAAUUGGACUCAACGCCGGGAAACUUACCAGGAGCGACGGCAGAAUGAAGCUCAAGCUGAAGACUUUAGCUGACAAGCCGAGAAGUGUUGCAUGGCCAGCGUCAGUUCGUGCCGUGAGGUGUCACGUUAAGUCGUGCAACGAACGAGAUCCCCGUCCACUGUUGCAACCCGCGAAGCAAUUCGCGGAGCACUCUGUGGAGACUGCCUGCGUUAAGUAGGAGGAAGGAGGGGGCGACGCUAGGUCAGUAUGGCCUGAAUCUCCUGGGCCACACGUGGCAUACAAUGGGCGAGACAACGCGUUCCAACGCCGAAAGGCGAAGGCAAUCGCUCAAACUCGACCCCUAGUUCAGAUUGCGGGCUGAAACCCGUCCGCAUGAAGCUGGAAUCCCUAGUAAUCGCGUGUCAACAUCGCGCGGUGGAUAUGUCCCCGCUCCUUGCACACACCGCCCGUCAAGCCAUCCAAGCGAGGUUUUAGUGAGGCUACCGCUACGCGGCCGCCGAGCUAGAGCUUCGUGAGGGGGGUUAAGUCGUAACAAGGUA
rnacentral:rRNA from 1 species